rnacentral:misc_RNA from 1 species
AAGAGUUUUAUAACUCCCAAACCCAUGUGAACAUACUUUACGUUGCCUCGGCAGGUCGUGUUUACCCAGUAGCCCCCUACCCUGUAGGACCUACCCGGUAGACACGGGUAAGCCUGCCGGCGGCCCACGAAACUCUGUUUAUUAUUGAAUUCUGAACCUAUAACUAAAUAAGUUA